GGGCCCGCACAAGCGGUGGAGCAUGUGGUUUAAUUCGAUGCAACGCGAAGAACCUUACCUACUCUUGACAUCCAGAGAACUUUCCAGAGAUGGAUUGGUGCCUUCGGGAACUCUGAGACAGGUGCUGCAUGGCUGUCGUCAGCUCGUGUUGUGAAAUGUUGGGUUAAGUCCCGCAACGAGCGCAACCCUUAUCCUUUGUUGCCAGCGGUCCGGCCGGGAACUCAAAGGAGACUGCCAGUGAUAAACUGGAGGAAGGUGGGGAUGACGUCAAGUCAUCAUGGCCCUUACGAGUAGGGCUACACACGUGCUACAAUGGCAUAUACAAAGAGAAGCGACCUCGCGAGAGCAAGCGGACCUCAUAAAGUAUGUCGUAGUCCGGAUUGGAGUCUGCAACUCGACUCCAUGAAGUCGGAAUCGCUAGUAAUCGUAGAUCAGAAUGCUACGGUGAAUACGUUCCCGGGCCUU
rnacentral:rRNA from 1 species